ACGGAAGGCAGCAGUGGGGAAUAUUGCACAAUGGGGGAAACCCUGAUGCAGCGACGCCGCGUGAGUGAAGAAGUAUCUCGGUAUGUAAAGCUCUAUCAGCAGGGAAGAAAAUGACGGUACCUGACUAAGAAGCCCCGGCUAACUACGUGCCAGCAGCCGCGGUAGUACGUAGGGGGCAAGCGUUAUCCGGAUUUACUGGGUGUAAAGGGAGCGUAGACGGUUCUGCAAGUCUGAUGUGAAAGGCAGGGGCUCAACUCCUGGACUGCAUUGGAAACUGUAGAACUAGAGUGCCGGAGAGGUAAGCGGAAUUCCUAGUGUAGCGGUGAAAUGCGUAGAUAUUAGGAGGAACACCAGUGGCGAAGGCGGCUUACUGGACGGUAACUGACGUUGAGGCUCGAAAGCGUGGGGAGCAAACAGGAUUAGAUACCCUGGUA
rnacentral:rRNA from 1 species